CCCAGCCGUUGAUUGACUUUGGAGGUUCCCUUGAAUUGAUUCAACAAUAUUACCUCUCUGCCCAGCCAGAUGCUAUUUGUCUUCCUGCAGUGGUCAUCUGGCAAGUCUCCAGAAUCUAUAUCAACCAUUUGCUAUCACAGUCUCAUCUGCCUCCAAGCAGUGGUCAUACUGUGCUUUAUGCACAAUAGAGAAGAGGAUAAAAGAAACCAGAAUAGCAACCAACCUGAUUGCCCUUCCUAGAAGCUCUGUAAGAUAUCGUGGACAUUAUUCAAAUAUGGCUCCCAACUCAUAUGUACAAACAUAUUUAUAGCAGCUCUUUUUGUGGUGGCAAAGAAUUGGAAAUUGAGGAGAUG